rnacentral:rRNA from 1 species
UACGGAGGGUGCGAGCGUUGUCCGGAAUCAUUGGGCGUAAAGGGCGCGUAGGUGGCCCGGUCAGUUCGUGGUGAAAGCGCGGGGCUCAACCCUGCGUCGGCCAUGAAUACUGCCGCGGCUGGAGCACUGUAGAGGCAGGCGGAAUUCCGGGUGUAGCGGUGGAAUGCGUAGAGAUCCGGAAGAACACCGGUGGCGAAGGCAGCCCCCUGGGUCGAUACUGACGCUCAUGCACGAAAGCGUGGGGAGCAAACAGG